AACUAACUCAUAGUAUCUCGAAUUUAUUAUUGUGUGCAUGCACAAUGUGCUGGAAGGCCAACAUGUUGACACGAGUUCCCACCAGGAUUGCAUUUGGACAGGGCUUGCAGGCUUUGUUGCAGGCUGCCAAUUGCUUGACAGAAAUUCGUCGAAUGCAGUGAGCGUGCAGAGUAACAUGUACUGCAGUACUCGUAAGUACCGCAUCCAGGUAUUGAAGUUAAGCAAAUGAGUUACAUCAUUUUUACCCGGUGUUUUCCUGAUAAAGUACAUCGUUGGAAUUUCACAAAGAAGCCGCUCUGACUGCGACGAGGAUUUUUACACCAUCACUCGACUGUAACGUAUCCUUCAAUCCAAUCCCUAGUCUUUCUAAAGCAGCACGCGUUGAUACCUCAAAAGAAACCAAAGAACCUGAAUUUUUCCGUGUGUGAAAAAGAUUGUUGCUGUACUCUUUUUAAGGAACAAAAUUAAGCGAAGCACAUACAGCGUGAAGAAUCUCUUAACCUCAUAUACUCAAGACAUACUUCCGCAAGCGCUUGCGGAAUCCCCUUGUCACUAGACCAAGAAGAUAACCUUUAGGUCGAUUUGGAAACGUAUAUUCCUUAAGUGUGACGUUCUGGCAUGUAAGCUGCAACUCUUCCAGAUCUGUAUCGAAGAUGUGCUCUACAGCAUAAAUAGCAACAGAUGUGAUAAAAUUUCGCUUUGAUUUAAUGAGGAUCUGUGGCAAAUAUAGUUGGAAGGUCUAGAUGCUUUCCUCUUCGCUUCAGCCUCUAGUCACUACUGAUGAUAGGCACUUCGCAUUUGCUACAUAAAAUUCAAUUCUUUUGCCAACACCUUCUUGUCUACAUUGUUUAGGAACCAAACAUGGCGUUUUACUUGAACUGCAGUCUUUAUCCAACAGAGGUAUCCUUCGUACGCAAACGACAACUUGAAUAAGACAAUGAAAUGGGGGUUACAUGUUGACCACUUGAAUCCCUUACAUGGGAAGCGAUGCCUCGCUAAACUAGUUCUCUGCCGAAAACAUCAUUUGUCCACCUAUUGGGAAUAUGCUCCACGAUGUGCAUUAAAUAUAGA
rnacentral:lncRNA from 1 species